rnacentral:tRNA from 1 species
AGCGGAUGACGGGAUUUGAACCCGCGACCCUCACCUUGGCAAGGUGAUGCUCUACCACUGAGCCACAUCCGC